AGUGAACGCUGGCGGUAGGCCUAACACAUGCAAGUCGAACGGCAGCACAGUAAGAGCUUGCUCUUACGGGUGGCGAGUGGCGGACGGGUGAGGAAUACAUCGGAAUCUACUUUUUCGUGGGGGAUAACGUAGGGAAGCUUACGCUAAUACCGCAUACGACCUACGGGUGAAAGCAGGGGAUCUUCGGACCUUGCGCGAUUGAAUGAGCCGAUGUCGGAUUAGCUAGUUGGCGGGGUAAAGACCCACCAAGGCGACGAUCCGUAGCUGGUCUGAGAGGAUGAUCAGCCACACUGGAACUGAGACACGGUCCAGACUCCUACGGGAGGCAGCAGUGGGGAAUAUUGGACAAUGGGCGCAAGCCUGAUCCAGCCAUACCGCGUGGGUGAAGAAGGCCUUCGGGUUGUAAAGCCCCUUUGUUGGGAAAGAAAAGCAGCAGGUUAAUACCCCGCUGUUCUGACGGUACCCAAAGAAUAAGCACCGGCUAACUUCGUG
rnacentral:rRNA from 1 species